rnacentral:lncRNA from 1 species
AUGCCUGCAGCGUCCGUCGCUGCGAGGAAGCUGGCUGCACAGGCGGACCUGAAUGGCCACAGGAUUCUCGCCGACAAUUCUGGCGACUUGGUUGAUGAUGAUGAUAUCCGGGAGAUAAUUGAUCUGCUCGGUGACCCUACAGUCCCCGAUCCUAUACAAAGACUCAUUGAUGAUAUCUUGAGUUCGGGUGAGACUAGUGCAGGCUAUAUGGACAAUAUCACCGUCUUCACUGAUCAGGUGCCAGUGCCGGAGGUUGUUGCCUUCUGGAAUUUCAUUGAGAACAGUGGAUUGGACGUCUCUGUCCUCGUGGACGUCCUCAACAACUUCCUGGGCAUACCCAAUUGAGAGGAAUAUUUAAGGCAUUGUUUGGAUAAAUCAAUCUUAAUACACAUAGAUUGAGAUGGAGAAUAAACACUACCACAUAAUGAGUUAUCCCAGAGGGCACUAUCACCAACGAUUUUAGGUAAACCGACUGUAAUAUGUAUCAUCGCCAGUUCUAAAAUAAAUGGGGUUGUGGGAUGUUAGAACUGGCAGUGAAGCCAUCACCGCCGGUUCCAAUCAUAAACCGGCGGUGAAAGUCAACACCGUCGGCUCUUAUAAAAAUCCAUCGGUGAAACGGUCCGAUCGGAUCGAAAUCUUUUUCAAAUCCAGUUAAGCGUGCUUGACGUCCGCACUCUCCCCUCCCCCUCCGCCACUUCUCCCUUUCUCUCCCCCAGUCCCACUUCUCUCCUCCCUCUCUCCUUAUCCUGCAAGCCCCCUCACUCCCUCCACCACCGAACCCCUCCCCCCUCCCCGUCCAUUGAGCCCCUCCUUCCCUCCCUCCCUCCCCAGCCUCCCCUCUCCUCCCCCCUUCGCUCGCCCCUCACCUCGUGCCUAAGGUGAGAAGCGGCGGCGGGGCGAGGCGUGGCGGGGCGGCCAUCGGGGCACGGAGCGGCAACGGCUAGCGAGCUCGGCGUGACAGGAUGUAGCAGUGCGGACGAAGCGGCAGCGGCGGCAAGAUCCGGGGGUGACGGCGGCGGCGAAAUCCGGUGCACUUCCCCCUCUCCCUCUCCCCCUCCCUCCCUCCCCCCCUCUCUCCCCUCUCCCUUUCCCUCCCUCCCUCCCUCUCCCGUACCCCUGCCGGACCUACCCCUCUCCCGGCCGCAUCCUGGCGGCUGCGCCCGGCCGCCCCUCUCCCACGACCCACCGGCCACCCGUUCUUCGGCGGUCCGGUGAGGAGGAGCGGCGGCCGGCUAGGAAGAACGGGUGGCCGGCAGGUCGCGAGGAGGGGCGACCGGGCGCAGCCGGCGGGAUGCGGGGCUGAGCGCGGAUUUUUUUUAUUUUUUAAUACGGCUUCACCGUCGGUUCCAGAACUGGCAGUGAUUCUAAUCUCUGCGGCGGUGGCGCUCUCACCGACGACAACCACGCACCGCUUGCUCCCACUCGCCAUGUAGUCCAGCACGCACAUGGCGCCAUCAGCGGCGUUGGCUGCGUUGGGGCGCCUCGCAUAGCCAGAACCUAGUGGAGAGCUCGUCACCACGUGGCUAGGCAUCUCUUUUGGAUGAUGUUCCGACGACGAGACGGCCUUCUGGAUGUUUGGCUUGACUUGGGAGCUAGAGAAGCUGGUCUCGCGCAUGACAUGGCUGACGCUGGGGUCAUCUGAGGAUGGAAAUGAUGAAUUGCUCGAUCUCGACCCUUGCAGCGGUGGCGAGCUCCGGCUGCGACUGUGGCAGCAGCUGGCCGCCUUUGAGGGCACCCCGACACUAGUGCGCCUGCACGCUUGGACGUGGCGACGAGAGCGUUGGGCAGCACAGGCACUGUCUAAAACAUGCGGUGGCAUUUUAUUUGUGCAAACUGAACUGAUGAAACAAAACAUCAGCAACGUUUUCGUUAGUAGCCCUGGAAGAUCGGUUUCAGGCUCUAGGGUGAUGAACUUUGCAGCUUGGCGUGCGCUCAGUUGGGCGCGGACGGACAGGCGUACAUGCGUAUUUCAUUUGGAGACAUGCAGCUCGGCUCGUUCUUUUAGCUCGAUGGCCUCGCACUUGUCCACAUCAGACUGCUUUGUUGGUCUCAAACGUGAAUUGACUCGGUCAAAACCAUGUCACAUAAGCAAAUUAUGAUGGAAAUCCUUCUUAGGGGUAAUUUGACCCAAUAUUAAUAGGUGAAGGGAUUAAAUUGAGCCAAUAUAUAGGUUAAGGAGGUGGGGUGGACAAAGUAAAUAGGUGGAGGGAGUAAAAUGGACUUUUCCCAUGUUUCUAUCAGUCAUUCAUCCAUAUGUAAUCAUACCCCAAUUCCAUACACACCGUACCUGAUACCACUCCACCGCCUUAACUAGCUAGAAAAGUAUGCGGCACUCAUACAACAAAUAUAACAAAAAAAGAAGAAGAAGGAAAUGAUACGUUGCCAUGGCUAGCUCGGAUGCUAGCGGCAUUGCUCUGGAUUAAACCGCUGCCGUUCCCACACCACCCCAUCAUGGCAACAUGAGAGCUCCUCCGCGUGUAACUGCGGCAGCACUUUUCUCUCAGUUCUUAACUUUCUCCUCAAUUUUGUUUAAAUCCAAUGCUAUGGCAUGAGGAAGGGGAUGAUGAAAAUAUCUGCACCAACGGAAAGGUUGUCUUCAUCUGCGAUAGAGCUUUCCUGAUGUCAAAACCAAUACAAGUCGGUAUGAAUACUAUGAAAAUUACCAGAAACAUAAAUAUAGGAAACAAAACAAAUCAAGGACCAUUUAACAAAAGUAAAACAAAAACAAGAAGAUGGGGACAAAAAUGUAAACAACAACCAUGAGCCUCGGAAGGGACAUGAUCUGCUCUCCAAACUCAUGCCACACAACAGGUUAUAAAAGUGACCGUUGGCCUAGCAUCAGGCAUCAACACCGCCCUAGCCAUCGGAAUUGAGUUGCUCCUGCUUGUCGUUCGUUCCUCAGCCUCCAAAUCGAAAUCGGACCUAGGCCAGGGCGACCAAUGGGCAGCGGGAGACGGCAGCGGCCCGUGCUCCGAGAUCGUACCGUUCUACUGUUGUACGCGUCGUCGACGGCUCGUCCGUGAUCGAGUGCGGCGGCGUGCGCUGCUCCUUCCCGCGUCAAAUUUGCCGUAGCUCUCGCUUCUUCCUCUCCAAAAUCUCCCGUCACCGGUGUUCAAUCUCUCCACAAAAGAGCAAGGACGUCGUCAUCCAUCUCCUUCCAUGGCCAGUCCUCAUCCAUAGGUAAACUCAUAUCGAAAUACCCCACGCUCCUCUCCACAAGCCAUCCCAGUUCUCUCCUCUUCCCGAACUUCUCCGAACCCCCAAAGCUCCCGUUCAUGGCAGCCAUGGCCACCCAUCUCCACUUCCUUCCUCACCUCCUGGACCAAGCAAAAUGGAUUCCACUCCUAUAGAUACUUUGUAUUCUCGAACAAGCAACAAAAUAACAUAUAAAGAUCAAUUUAUACUUGAUUGACAUAAUCUAUAGAUACAUGCAUGAACUAAAUAAACAACCUAAUAGACAGACCACUAUAUGCUUGGUCUGUUUUGCCGUGUAUACGUGACAUGGUAUGUGUUUGCAAACAAGAGCUAUCUAAAUUGUUGAACAUGUUCUUUGCCUUCAAAUUUUAUCUCACAAAGAGUGUUCAUUUAGCUUCUAGUGAGACUCAUCUAAUUAAAACAACACUCACAGUCACAGCAAUGAAAAAAUGUAUUGAGAUGUGCAUAGAGCCAAUGAAAUGAUCAAUUGAUGUUUUUUCUCUAGUUACAAUCCAUGUGCAUUUAUUCAGGAUCAAAAAACUAAACAGACCGCAUAGUUUUCAACAACAACUAAUAUAAAUAAUUAGAGGUGGCAUGGUCGCUUCUCACAACUGCUACUGUACUCCCUCCGUAUAGGAAAAGGAAGUUGUUUUGGACAAGGUUUUGGUCAAACAUUGGGAAUAUAAAUCAUGAAUAACUUUUAAGUUGUUGAGUUUGGAAAUGUGAAAGCCAUAUAAAUAGAUUUGUCUUGAAAAAUACUUUCAUAAAAAUAUACAUAUUUCACUUUUGGAUAAAUAUUUUUAUAAAAAUAAGGAGUCAAAGUAAUGCUUUGAAGACCGUGUUGCUGUCCAAAACGACUUCCUUUUCCUAUACGGAGGGAGUAUCCAAAAUUUUCUAAAAGAAUAUUUAUUUGGGGACGGAGGGAGUAUAUGCUAAAUAUACACACAUGUAUCUUUUAUAUUGGGUCAAGAUCGCUAGUUUUCGAGUUAUAAUUCGCCGCAACACUCUGAUGCAGAGCAGUGCCCUUCUGGGACUUCCCAUGCCUCCCCAGUCCCCACUCAAUCCCAGGAUAGGCUGUUGGCCAAAGCUGAUGGCCCACGAGAGGCCACAUGCCACAUCUCCCAUCCGGCCAAUACGCCAUCACGCGCUAGCGCUACAGGAGCACGGAUGCUGUGCUACCGGCUGCGGCGGCCGAAGCGAGCGGGGGCAUGCCAGUGCGGUGAUGACAAGGCAGAGCUGGGCGGCCAGCGGGUGCUCCCCCUCCCUGAACUUAUUUUUUUUAACACGGGAAUACCAAACUUCUAAAUCCUGGCUCCACCAUGUCUUAGCGAUUUAGAAUUUCUGUAUUGAACUUAUAUUUUUUGCACAUAAUUAAAUUAUAUUGUUGGUUGGGAGAGUCAAGUGAAUUUGUUUGUGACGUGCUUCAUCUGUGCACGUGUAAAGCCUUUUGGUGUGAAUUUCUUUUUUGUAUGUGUGGUUUUCUAUGUCUACCUAAUUUAUUUGUAUGUGGUUUCUCUAACCUCCUUUUUUCAUGGCGUGCUGCUAUUUCUUUUCAGAAAUGUGUGGCCACCAUUUUGUAUGGUACAACGUGUACAACGUGUGGCUCCUUGGAGCUGAAAAAUAAAAAGGUCAUCUUGGAACCUUGCAAUGUGCAAAAGUCAGAGGUGCCACCUCUGUCAACGCACCCGAACUUGUUUGUCCCAAAUACCGAUACUUUUUUCUUCCUGUGAGAAAAUGGACAGAACGAGUACAUCUAUAAUUGUACAUCCAAUAUACGGAUAUUUUUCCACGCAAAAAAUUGGAUAUCAUGACCUCAAUAAACAAGAAAUACAUGUGGCAUACGUACUAUUGUUAUAUAUAUAUUUACGUAGAUGCCUGUGACACGCCACAUUUUAAAUAUUUACAUUAUAUGGUCAGCGAUCACCGACCCCAUGGAUUUUUUUAUAGAGAUUUUAGGAACAAAACACGUUGCUUAAAACAUAUAAUUUUUUAAAAUACAGAUAUCAUGCCUUUUGUUGGAGAGUGAAUUAAGUUCUUCAUUUCAAAUUUGUUCAAAUUUACAUCUACAAUGUGAGGUUGAAGAGUAAACAUGGCCCUCCACCUCAAGAGAAAUUCACAUGUUCAUAUCAUGACCGAACCUAUAUCUGCCUUUGGGAGGCCUGCAAUUGCAUUUUAGUUCAGUGGUAGUGACCAAUUAGUACGUCAUUAUAAUAUGGGCAGUGAGGGCUCUUAGCUACAUAGAUGGCCGAUGUAGUAUGUACUCAUUAGGACUAAUCAAGCAAGAGUAGUAUGAAUCAGCAUUGCAUUUUUUUAGGGACCAUAAUUUUAGAUCCACCCAUCUAAACUGGUUCAUACGACUCUUCCUCUCCAAUCUCUCUCAAAUUUUUGGCCUCCUUCCUUCCUCCUCCCUCCCCUCUGGCCUUCCACUUCCCAAGCUUCCUCCCCCUUCCUCCUGUUCCUGCGAUGGCGAGGGCCGCGUGGUGGCCGGAGCGGGGGCGAGCAGCGGCCAGCGCGGGGGCGAGCGGCUGCCCUCGGCGAGCCGCUGGAUGUCGGCCUUGGGUAGCCGCACCCAUAGCCGCACAUACGGCGACGGCCUCCACGUACGACGAUGAUGCGGGGGAUGACGAUGAUGCCGCCAGGGCCGCCGCCACAUCCGAGGCCGACCGCCACGCUAGCAUCAGGCUCUCCGGCCACGCCCCGACGCCACCAGCGCUGUAGGUGAGCACGUCGGACCACGUCCGCCGGGGCACGUCCCGCCGCCUAGCGGAGGAGGACGCGGCCAUCCUGGGCAGCUCGACGAGGAAGUCGAGAUUCCAGGGCUUGAGCGGUGCGUCCGGGUCCAGCGGGCGUGCGCGGACGUUGAGGCGGCGCACCUCGUCGGACUCGAGGAGGUGGUGACCCGGGUGGCCCCGUGGCGCGUCGGCCCAGUAGGGGUAUCUUGGUCUUUCGUUGGUUUAGCUGGGUUCAACUAGCUAAGGGUAAGUACAUUGGUGUCGUUUGGUCUCAAGCAUUAAUACGUAAUCCUGAGACGACUCAACAGGCAACCCAUACAAUGGGUUGUCUUAUAAGUUGUCUGGUGGAGCUAUAUAAUUCUUUAAUUUGUGCAUAUGGAAAAAGAAAAUAUUAUGAGUUGCAUGGCAAUAAUAACUCAUACAUUGAUUGUUGAGUUGUCUAGUAGUACUACAAUUUAGCUCAUGAGGCGGUUGUUUCACGAAAUAAUAACCUCUUUCUCUACUCGCUCUCUCUCUUCCACAUCAUCAAAAGUCCUAUGUGGCACUGCAUGAGACGACUUAUAAGACCGCUGAUGUGUAAAAAUGUACUGACAGUAGACCCAUGACUCGGGAGGGGUAAAAUGGUCAGCUCAUGGAUGGAACCACAGAUGGAAUGGUACUAAGAGGAUAAAUCUAAAUUUCAAUGGCACUGAAGGAAUUUCGAACAAAUCUAUGUGUUGGCACUAGAAAUCGGCUGAUCGAAUUCCCAACGUCGGACACACGACCCGGGAGAAUCUGCUUAGCUCCUAUUCGGGUGAUCGCCCUGGUGCGGUUCGCGCAGCGUGCUAGCCAAUCUGACCUGUUGAUUGGCAAGGAAAGAAACGUGUCAGAUCCCAGAGGUUGCGAUCGGCUAAGGUUCCGAUCUCGAGAAAGCUUAUCAGCGAAUCGGCCGAUUUGCCGUAAUAAAGGAAUCGGCUAAGAAGCAGCCGAUUACCGGGCAACGUUAAUAAAGAAAACUGCUGGAGUAAUCUAAGCAGCGCUACAGUAACAACACUAGGAACGGAUCUAAUCGGCUAUGCGUAAAAUGAAUAGAUUAAACAACGAAGUAUAAGAAAAGCCGAAAUUACCGAUUCCUAGCUGGAUAACUAGUGAUAAAACCAGAACAACAAGUAAAACCUAGAAUUCUAGUAAAUAUCGAUAACUGAUGAAUAAAUCCAAACGAAACGACAGCGAUGCGCCCGAAGUUAAAGUUUAGAAAUUACUCGAUAAACGGAACUUACAAGAUCAGCCAGAGGUCAAGUUGAUGCAGCCCCGCCAACCCGUACGAACUCGUGAAAAAGAAGAAAAGUGUUGGCAAAGUCGCCCGCUUGAAAGUAAGUAUGAGAAAAUAGUAGUUUGUUGUAUUGAGUUGAUGAUGAUUACAGAUCUACAAGGGUGGCUAUUUAUAGCCUGUUACAAACGACUUCUUAUCCGACUAGAACUCUAUCCCUAAAUUUAAACAGAAAACGAAUAUUUACAAGUACGAUUCGUACUAGGUCGAUCAUCACGCGCUUCAUGGGCUGAUUCCCUCUUCAUCUUCAUAAUCCUUUUUAGGCCCACCGGCCUAACUAUCCCAGCCUCCUAAUCGGCCGAUCAUCUCAUUGGCAAGGGACAACCGAUUAGGACCCACACGUCGGGGACUCAGACUACUCCGACCCUGGAAACUAAGGUCGGGCGAGGCGGGUAUCCUCCCUUGGAGGAUCGGGCGCGUCCGAUCCCAAACCCUAGGGGUCGGGCGAGGCGGAACUCCAAGGGUCAAUCGGCCAAUCCUCGACUGUAGCACCAAUCAACCGAUCCUUGACUGUAGCACCAAUCGGCCGAUUUCCAAUCGUCGCCCUUGUAUCUCGCCGUAUCCUCUAAUUUCUUCCUCUCCUAACGCUGAUUUUACUCGUGUCAAAAUCUGGCGUCAACACUAUGGUAACGAGGGAACUCAGUAUUUCUAUGUAUUUUUAUGUCAUCGAGGGAAUUGAUUCUAUAAAGUUGAUAUCCUAGCUCUGACGCUUUCGAUAAGGAAAAGUGAUUAUUAGAAUUUUUAUAGAGAUAUGCAAGGAAUAUGGAAGCUGACUUUUGUAUGUUUAUUACUUCCAUCAUAAAUAUUUCCCUUUUCUGUUUCACAGGAAAGAUGCUAAGGGACCGUUUGGAUCCGGUUGGGAUUCUAUAAUCCAAGAAAAAAAAUCAAAAUCCAAACCAAAGAGGUUGGAUUCUACUGCAGGAUUCUAGAAUCCCUACCCAUAAUCCACAAUCCCCACUUGCUUAGCUUAUGGGGGAUUCUAGGAUGAGAAAUUACAAUUUUACCCCGCUCCAAAUAUUUGCCUGUUUAAGAAAAAAGGGAGGCAAGGGCAUUAUAGAUAUUUCGUUUUUACAACCAACCUAAUAUCCGGAUUAGAAUCUAGAGAUCUGAAUAGGGUAGAUUAUUACAAUAUACUAUCUAGAUUUAUAAUCACUAUACACUAUCCGGAUUCUUAUAAUCCAUCGGUGGUCCAAAUGGGGCCUAAGUUUCGAUGACGGUUCAUGUGGAUGUGCGGAUUUUCGUGCGUUUCCUGUACUUCGGGCAGUUUCUGGACGAGCGUGCAAGCUGCUACGACGACCGGAGCGGUUCACGUCCUUGCCCGACCUGCAGCAACAGCCAACACGACGUUUGAAAGUCCUAGGGUCCAACGAACUCCUUUUGGUUAGGCUAGGCGGAUGGAGCAACCGAGCAAGAAACUCUUCUCCUGAAGCGGCUGUAAGGUGCAGACAACAACAGCCUGCCGAUGUCACCAUAUUCGGGACAACAAGAUUGCAACUGCAUGGACUCUGCUGAAUCAUGGCCAUUGUUGACCUUGCGAUGUUCAGUUUUGACAUGGAUUUUUAUGCACAUGUGCACAAAGUAUACUCUAUUCUGACAUGCAGACAUAAUACAUGGAUACAUUUAUUUGGACCACUGUCGAUUUUUUUAACUUUCAUUCUGAACUAAUGUUCAUGAUAUAUCAAGGAUUUGGUGCCCACCCAAAAUGAUCUACGAUAGAGUAUAUGGUAUUGUCAACAUACUUAAGGAUAAAUCUGUAUCCUCUUUAUGUUUCUUAUGUACUCCCUCCGGCCUAAAUUACUAUUCGUUUUGGUUUUUCUAGAUAAAUAACUUUUGAUAUGCACCUAGAUGUAUAAUAUGUCUAUAUGCAUAGCAAAAGUUAUGUGUUGAAGGAAAGCAAUACAAACUUCUAAAGCCUUCCCCACAACUCAUGAUCCAUGAUAUUUUUCAUGAAGGCACUGGAUGUUGUUGCUAUGAAGAAAUUAGAAUAGUGUAGAACAUAGAUAUUUGUCUAGUGAAAAUUCUAGAAGGGGACACAUGCCAUCAUCCUAUGAACUCCCUUGGCCUAUAAAUAGAGGGACCCUUCCUUACCAUGCCAUUCAAUCAUGAGCAUGAUAGAUGAGUGGAGUAUAGUAGAAGUAAAGGAUGAAUGUUAGGCUAGCCACUAAAGAGAGGGUGUUGUACACUCUUGUGUAAUAUUGUUGUGUUGUAAUAAUGUUCCGUUUCUUAUGAGUGCUAGACUCUCGGUUGGGCCAUAUAGUUUCUAAGUACUUAGUGCAUAAGUUGUGAUCCAUCGAAGGUUGGCUCUGUCACCCAAGAUCACAAGGGUCUGGACUUCUGUUGGCGCUAGAAAUCGGUCAACCGAGUCCCAACGUCCGACACACGACCCGGGAGAAUCUGCUUAGCUCCUGUUCGGGUGAAUGCCCUGGUGCAGUUCACGCGGCGUGCCAGCCAAUCUGACCUGUUGAUUGGCAAGGAAGAACACGUGUCAGGUUUAGAAAUCUCGAUCGGCUAAGUUUCCGAUCUCGGAAGAGCUUAUCAGCGAAUCGGCCGAUUUGCUAUAAUAAAGAAAUCGGCUAUGAAGCAGCCGAUCACUGUGGUCUUGUAGAUAGGUAAUUACUAGUAUAUUUGACACAGAGGUAUGAUAAUAACACUAGGAACAAAUCUAAUUGGCAAUAGAUAAAAUUAAUAGCAGAAGGUAAAGAAAGCCGACACUACCGAUUCCUAGCUAGAUAACCGGUGAUAAAGACUAGAAAAACAGGUAAAACCUAUGAAUCUAGCAAAUAUCGAUAAAUAGUGAAUAAAUCUAAACGAAACAACAGCGAUACGCCAGAAGUUAAAGCUUAGAUAUUACUCGAUAAACGGAACUUACAGAAUCGGCCGGAGAUCAAGAUGAUGCAGCCCUGCCAACCCGCACGAACUCGUGAAAAGAGGAAAGUAAUGGCGAAGUCGCCUGCUUGAAAAUAAGUACGAGGAAAAAGUAGCUUGUUGUAUUGAUUGGUUGAUCCUUACAGAUUUACAAAGGUAGCUAUUUAUAGCCCCGUACAGAUAUCUUCUUAACCGACUAGAACUCUAUCCCUAAUUCAAACAGAAAACGAAUAUCUACAAGCACGAUUCGUGCUAGGUUAGUUACUCCACGCUUCGUGGGCUGAUUUCCAGCUCAUCCUUCUAUUCCAAGCCCAUACAGGCCCAAUUAACCCAUCCUCCUAAUCGGCCGAUUCCUCAUCGGCAAAAGGCUACCGAUUGGGAUUCUGGUAUAUUCGACCCGAAACGAGACAGAAGUCACCGGCCGAUCUCACACUGUAGCACCACUUGGCCGAUUCCCAACUGUGCUCCUCCGAUCCCCCUCUCUUCUUGGCGCCGAUUCUACUAGUGACGAAAUCUGGCGUCAACAUAUGCCCCCCAGUUUCGGAGUAAAACAUAGUCUUUUACUUCGAAAUUCUUUAUAACCCCCCUUCCGAAACGGCCGCAGUGAAAAUAUCCUUCCGUUUCACGGUCUUCCAGCUGAUCAUUGCAAUUUUUUCGAAACGAGCACCCACGACAGCCACUACUCCCGAAAAACUCGAAGCGCCGGCGCGGUGAAAAUUCCAUUUUUACCCCCCCUUCAGGCAUCCUUUAAAUAGCGUUUCACCCGCACCUCUUCUUCAAGCUCACGUCUCUUUUCCCAGCGCGCGCGCCUUCUUCCUCCUUCAGCAUCUUUCCCUUGCCGCCGAAGCUUCCUAGCUUCACCUCCUGUUACUUUUUCCUCUUCUCUUCCAAUGGUGGCUCCUUCCGGCAGCUCUCCCGCGCGCGAUGUCCCAGAAGUAGCGCACCCGGCGGUGGUGGCGAUAGCCGUUGCUCCAUCCAUAGAAGAAGGAGCUUCAUCGGAGAUCCCAAUGGCGAUCCCCAUCGCGGCCCCAUCGUCCGCAUCUGCACCGGCGACCACGCCGAUCACUCAGAACUUCAUCCCAGAGGUAAAUAUCGAAUCCUUCUUCUAUCGGCAAUAUAUUUACCUUAGAUCUAUUUCUUACUUUUCUACACUCCCCUUUCCUUCUUUAGGAAGUUAGGCAUCGAAUUACCAUUCACCUUACGGGAAAUCCCGGCCUUGUUUGUCUCGGACCCAUGGGAAACCCAGAUCCAAUAGAUCUCAUAAAUUUGGAAACCGACCGGAUACCCUUCAAAUUGUCUGAUAUGAACUUAGAUCACUGGCUGGGUACUUUUAGAUCCUGGCCAAAUGAAACCCCAGGUUGGAGGGAGUGGUACCAACGGGUGGCCGCAUCAAAGAGCGUCUCAUGGGAAGAGCUCAAAAUCGGCCAGUGCAUCAACCUUUCCUUAUCCCAGAUGGAGAAAAAUGAGCCGUUAGUGAUGGCGGCUUCUUAUUUUUGGUCUGAUGCACUUAAUGCCUUCUUAUUUGGGCACGGUCCUAUGACCCCAACACUGGCCGAUGUGGUCCUGUUGACCGGCCUCGACAUAUCCUCCCCGGACACACCCUAUCACCUUUUAACCACAACGUCACAUCGGCUGGACACAAGGGGAAUCGGCGGGUGGAAGGGUUUCAUCAGAAGCAAUAAGAGGACCGGGACUAUUGAAAACAGGGAGCACACAGCUUUCCUGAUGAUGUGGCUAGAAAAGCACUUCUUUUGUGGAAGAGCCGCCGGCCCGACAACCAAUACCCAGGCCUUAGCUGAAGCACUGUCCAGGGGAAACCAUGUCCCUCUUGGGAAACAUCUGCUAGGGGCCGCGUACCACAUGCUUCAUCAAAUCAGCAUAAGACUAUCCAAGGGAGAACCGAUCGGCAAUCAAGGCGGGCCCUGGUGGUUCAUCAACUUGUUUGACUUUGACCUUCUUAUCGUACCACCUGGCUACCAUCUUUUUAUUUUCUUCAAUGCUUAUCAGAGCCCUCAAUCGUUGGCCAGCCAAAUCGUCAAGUUCCCUUUUCAUAAGUGACGAGUAGUCAUCGGCCGUUAACUGGUCCUGGAGCGGAAUACGCCUCGAUCCCGCCCUUGACUCCCAUGGCAGUACCGCAUCGUGACCGUACACCAAUUGGUAGGGAGAUAACUUGGUAGCCCCAUGACAAGCCAUCUGGUACGCCCAUAAGGCCUCUGUCAAACAUAGAUGCCACUUCUUUGGUUGUUCCUCGACUUUUCUUUUGAUCAAUUUGAUUAUCCCUUUAUUGGAGGAUUCCGCCUGACCAUUGGCUUGGGCGUAAUAUGGAGAAGAAUUUAACAAUUUGAUUCCCAUAUCGGUCGUAAAUUCCUCAAAUUCCCCCGAUGUGAACAUUGUUCCUUGAUCGGUUGUUAUAGUCUGAGGAAUACCGAAUCGGUAAACGAUGUGGUCCCUUACGAAGUCAGCCAUGAUAGCCGAUGUCACGGCUCUCAACGGGAUGGCCUCUACCCAUUUGGUAAAGUAAUCAGUAGCCACCAGAAUAAAUUUGUGCCCUUUGCUUGAUGGUGGGUAAAUUUGGCCGAUAAGGUCUAUUCUCCAUCCCCUGAACGGCCAUGGCUUAAUGAUGGGAUUCAUGGCCGAUGCGGGUGCACGCUGGACAUUUCCAAACUUUUGACACUCCUGACAGCCCUUAUAAUAUUUGAAACAGUCUUCGAGGAUCGUUGGCCAGUAGUACCCAUUAUUCCUGAUCAUCCACUUCAUCUUAUGUGCCGAUUGGUGUGCUCCACAUACUCCUUCAUUGAUUUCUCCCAUUAGAGUCUUGGCCUCCUCUGUCCCAAGGCAUUUGAGAAGAACUCCAUCGAUCAUUCGGUAGAAUAGGUCAUCUUCGAGCAGUACGUAUUUGGUGGCAUGAAAACGUACUCGUCGCUCCACCUUUUUAGACGGAUCCUUCAGGUAGUCAGCAAUUUCUUUACGCCAGUCAUCAGCCGUGAGUUCUAGAGCCAUAGCGCCUAGAAUUGGCCGAUACCCAGAUGCAUGCUGGGCGAGUUUGUUGGCGUCUUCGUUGCGGUCUCUUGGGAUGUGCUCGAUUACUGCCGAUCGGAAUUCUUUUAAAAGCUGUAAGCAAUCUUCAUAAUAAAUUCUUAAUACGUCAUCUUUGCAUUCGAACCUUCCGGUCAGUUGAUCCACAAUAAGCAUAGAAUCUCCGAAGACCUCAACGGAAUCGGCCUUGACUUCUCUUAAUAGUUGUAGGCCUUUUAAUACAGCUCGGUACUCCGCUUGAUUGUUAGUAGAGGCGGUUUCUAUCGGCAGAGAAAAAUCAUAGCUUGCCCCCCGAGGCGAUAUGAGAACGAUGCCGAUUCCUGAUCCGACCCCACAUGAUGACCCGUCGAAAUAUAAUGUCCAAGGUGCCGGCUCUACGAGGGCAAUCUCCGGUCCGCAGUGCUGGGCGACGAAAUCGGCCAUGACUUGACCCUUGACGGCUUUUGCCGAUUCAUACCGCAGGUCAAACUCUGAUAAAGCUAAGAUCCAUUUGCCGAUUCGUCCUUUCAAGAUCGGCAGUGAUAGCAUGUAUUUUACUACGUCGUCUUUGCAUACGACCACGCAUUCUGCCGACAGUAGAUAGUGCCUUAGUUUGGUGCAUGAGAAGUAAAGACAUAGGCACAAACGCUCCACCGGAGGAUAUCUUGUUUCAGCAUCCAGAAGUCUUCUACUGACAUAAUAAAUUACCCGCUCCUUGCCUUCAAACUCCUGGACUAGAGCCGACCCAAUAGCUUUUUCAUCGGCUGAUAAGUAUAGUUUAAACGGCUUACCAGUUUGAGGAGGAACCAACACUGGUGGUGAGACCAAAUAUUGCUUGAUAUCUUCCAGUGCUUUGCGCUGCUCCUCUCCCCAUAUAAAUUCCUGGUCAGGUUUUAGCUUCAACAGAGGUGUGAACGCCUAAAUCCGCCCAGAUAGAUUAGAUAUGAAUCUUCUGAUGAAAUUCACCUUGCCGAUUAGAGACUGCAGUUCGGUUUUGCUCUGUGGGGCCACGACUUUGUUGAUGGCCGCUAUGGUCUUCCGAUUGAUCUCUAUGCCUCGUUCGUGUACCAUGAAUCCUAAGAACUGUCCGGCGGAUACGCCGAAAGCACAUUUAUUGGGAUUCAUCUUAAGACCAUGUUUUUUGGUACACUCUAGCACUUUUCGCAAAUCGGCCAGAUGUUCUUCGUGACCUUUGGAUUUGACCACGACAUCAUCGAUGUAGAUUUCUACCAGAAGGCCAAUGAGUUUGUGAAAUAUGUAAUUCAUGGCUCUCUGAUAUGUAGCGCCAGCGUUCUUCAAGCCAAAAGUCAUCACCACCCACUUGAACAAACCAAGGUGGCCUGGACAUCUGAAGGCCGUUUUGGGUAUGUCCUCUUCGGCCAUAAGUAUUUGAUUGUAUCCGGCGUUUCCGUCCAUGAAGCUAAUGAUUUUAUGCCCUGCGGCAGCGUCGAUCAGUACAUCGGCCGUUGGCAUGGGGUAACCAUCCAUCGGUGUGGCCUGAUUAAGAUUCAUGAAAUCAACGCAAACGCGUAGCUUUCCAUUUUUCUUGUAUACUGGUACGAUGUUAGAAAUCCACUCGGCAUAACGACAUUGCCGAAUAAAUUUUGCUUCGAUUAGCCGAGUUAUUUCAGCUUUUAUGUCUGGUAGAAUUUUAGGAUUGCAGCGCCGUGCGGGUUGUUGGUACGGCCGAUACCCUGGUUUUAUGGGUAGCCGAUGUUCAAUAAUGGAUCGGUCUAAACCGGGCAUCUCGUGAUACUCCCAAGCAAAACAAUCCUUAAAUUCCUUUAAUAAAUUUGUCAAUUUACACUUGUACUCUGGAUCUAAAUUUGCACUAAUAUAAGUCGGCCUUGGUUUGGUACCAUCACCUAAAUCUACCAUUUCCAAUGAAUCGGCCGACGUGAACCCGUGUCCUAGCUUCCCAUCUUCUCGGGCGAACUGAUCCAUUUAUUCUGAGUCUUCGGAGCCGACUGCUCGGAUCGGCUGUAGGCCAAAAUCGGUGACCUUCAGGAAAUCGGUCUCCCAUACUCUGCCAGAUAUGCACCUGACGGUUUCGCAGCUCCACUGCUGCGUGUCGGCUGCCGCGAUGCUGUACGCGGAAUCGGCGUUGACCACCUCGAUGUUAUCGCCAACCCAUUGCACGAGGCAUUGAUGCAUUGUUGACGGGAUGCAGCAGUUUGCGUGUAUCCAGUCUCGGCCAAGUAGCAGGUUGUAGGACCCCUUGCCAUUAAUGAUAAAGAAGGUGAUAGGGAGGGUCUUACUGCCGAUGGUGAGGUCGACGCAGAGGGCACCGCGAGCGUUUGACACCUUGCCCUCGAAGUCCUUGAGCAUCAUGUCCGUCUUGGUCAAGUCGUCGUCGCUUUUCCCAAGUUUCCGGAGUACGGCGUACGGCAUGAUGUUGACUGCAGCUCCUCCGUCUACCAUUAAUCUAGUGAGGGGGCGGCCGUCAACAUGCCCCUUAAGGAACAGCGCCUUCAUGUGUUGUCGUUCGUCGUCUUCGGGCUUCUCGAACGUGGCCAUCAUUGGUUCCAAGGCCAACUGUGCUGUCUGUUCUUCUAUUGCCGAUACAUCUUGUUGAUCGGCGGGAGUCAUGAAUUCCAUCGGCAAAAUGAAAACCAUGCCGAUCUCGGCUGCCGAUUCGUCACCGGCCGAGUAGUCGUCCCCUUUAUCAUUUCUUUUGGGGCGCCACACCCGAGGCCUUCCUUCCUUCUUGUCCGUCGUGCUUUCUUCCUCUUGCUGUUCCCAUUGGCGGAGACGUUGGAUUCUCCGUUUUUGAGACUUGGUCAAUCCAUCGGGACACCACCUGGGGUUUAUUGGUCUUCCCCUGACCUAGGGCGUUCCCACUUCGGUUCGCGUCCUAACGGGUUUUCAUCCGUCACCCGAGCAUCGGCCAUCUCUUCGAGCCGGCUGUGAACGCUGGCCUUGUUUUCUGACCGGUCAUGCCGAUCAGUCCUGCCCCCCUGGUUAUCAUGGCAUCUGUCUUCCGACCGAUCAUAUCGGUCAUUUCUGCCCCCCAGCCGAUCACGCACGGGAGGGCGCUGGUCAUCUUGGCUGCGCCAAUUCCUGCUGAUCGGUUCUGGCCUUCCGUCUCUGGAGCGAGACCUGUUGAACGGCCGAUUGCCACGAUAUGGACCGUUGCAUUCUGGGCAAGUAUCAGCCGAAGGUAGCCUGAGGUUGUUUUCCCAACAAUGAAUGAAGAACGGGCAUCUCCAGUGCUCCUCGUGCCGACGCAUUGCUUCUUCCCGGGACCUUGAGCGUUCAUGCUGACGUUGGUACUUCUGGAGCAGGAGCUGGGAAGUAAUGCGUGGCCCUUCUGAUUCGCCAUCGUCGUCCUCCAUCCGCCGCUUCCCCUUGACAUCUUCAGGCGUAGCUUGAUUUCUGGGGUUGAUGGCGCCACUCUUUUUGGCCGAUUCGGACGUCAGCACUUUUGUUUGGAGUGAAUUCUUCCCUGUAUCAACCAUGUUGGUGGGGAAAGGGUGUUGGUCAAUCUUCAUUGGCUUGGCCGAUUUUGUCGGCACUUCAAAUUUAAGUCUGCCUUGCUCAAUGGCCGACUGUAUCUGCUGCCUGAAGAUCUUGCACUCGUUGGUGUCAUGGGAUGUGGCGUUGUGCCACUUGCAAUACUUCAUCUUUUUUAGCUGCUCGGCAGAAGGUAUGGUAUGAUAUGGCGAGAGUUUAAUCUGUCCUUCUUGGAGGAGAAGAUCGAAGAUUUUAUCGGCCUUAGUCGUGUCAAAGCCGAACACCUCCGGCUCCUUUUUGCCGAAUGGGCAUGAUAUCGGCUUCUUCCCUUUGAUCCACUCUGCAAGUCCGACUUCGACAUCUUCCUCAUCCUCUAACUCCUCCAGGAAUGCCACCUUCUUCUGGAAAUUCCUCCGUGGAUCGAAUGAACGUACCUCCUGUCCAGACAGUCGGUGGACAAUCUGGCUCAAACUUUCGAACUCCUGUGAAGCGUAUCUUUCUUUGAUGUGGGGCAGAAGGCCUUGAAAAGCUAUAUCGGCCAACUGCGCGUCGUUUAAAGCCAGGGAGUAGCACUUGUUUCUGAUUUCCCGAAAUCUCUGUAUAUAUGAGGAUAUCGGCUCAUCACUUCUUUGCCUGAGGCUGGUCAAAUCGGACAGCUUCAUCUCAUGCACCCCGGCGUAGAAGUACUUGUGGAACUGUCUUUCUAAAUCGGCCCAUGUGAUAAUCGAGUUUGGCGGCAAUGUUGUGAACCACUGAAAGGCCGAACCAGACAAAGAUGAAGAGAACAACCGUACCCGUAGAGCAUCCUGAGUAGCUGCCUCCCCGCAUUGGAUGAUGAAUCUGUUCACGUGUUCCACGGUUGAAGUGUCAUCCAUCCCCGAAAACUUAGUGAAGUCAGGCACCUUAUACCGAUGGGGAAACGGCAAUAGGUCAUAUGUAGAUGGGUAUGGUGUUCUGUAGGUGUAAGUCUGUACCUUCGUCUUCAAGCUGAAUUGUUCUUGCAUCACUUCCGCAAUACGCGCCGACCAGUCUGGCUGUUGCUGGUGAACUGUUGGCUGAGGCAUUGGCAUAUGCUGGUAAACUGGAGGCGGAAUGAACGGAGGCUGGUUGAAAGCGGGUGGUAUCUGAGUAAAAGCCGGCUGUGUAGUAAAAGUCGGCUAUCUGAAUGAACCAUUCGUUUCAUCAUACAGCAUGAGCUCUGCUGUCUUGUUGACCUCCGGAACGACAGGCUGGUAUGGCGGUACGGUCGGCCGAGUGGCCGCUUGAAAAGAUGCCUUGAAUGGAGGGCUUCCCUGACUGGCCGAUUGAUUCUGACUGGCCGUGGCUGAAGGUGCCCCCCAGGGUGAUGGAUUAACUGGAGGAAACGGCGCAGAAGACAGUUGAAUGGAGUUAUACCCCAUAGGAGCUGAUGAUGAGGAAGCACCUGAUCCCCUGACAGAAAAUUGAAUCGGCUGCGAAGCCGUAUUCGAAUAAGUCUGGUUUGGUGGAAUCGGCUGAAAAUAUGCCGGUCCCCUGUACCCUUGAGGUAUCCCCCCGGUGAAGGAAUUGACGACAGCAUUGUGCACCAUAUUUGAAAGUACCGGGGACUGAUCGAUGAAGGCGUGAUAAAUAGACUAUUGAAUCAUAUCGGACAUUUUGUCCGAAUCCUCAGAAAUUGUGAUCUGGCGGGGAGGAGGGAAUGGAGUCUUCUUGAUAGUCUCCCUGCUUCUGGAGCGACUGAACGAUUUUAGGCAAGCUUUACGGAAUUGUUCCGUAUACUUGUCCAGUUCUUCCUUCUGGUCGUCCUUCAGAUCUGCCUCCGUCACCUCGAUGACGUUAUCUUCGGAGACUUCAGCAGCUUUCGACAUGAUGGCGGUUGUAUCGGUCCCACCGGGCGUGCCAAAAGUGUGUUGGCGCUAGAAAUCGGUCAACCGAGUCCCAACGUCCGACACACGACCCGAGAGAAUCUGCUUAGCUCCUGUUCGGGUGAAUGCCCUGGUGCAGUUCGCGCGGCGUGCCAGCCAAUCUGACCUGUUGAUUGGCAAGGAAGAACACGUGUCAGGUUUAGAAAUCUCGAUCGGCUAAGUUUCCGAUCUCGGAAGAGCUUAUCAGCGAAUCGGCCGAUUUGCUAUAAUAAAGAAAUCGGCUAUGAAGCAGCCUAUCACUGUGAUCUUGUAGAUAGGUAAUUACUAGUAUAUUUGACACAGAGGUAUGAUAACAACACUAGGAACAGAUCUAAUCGGCAAUAGAUAAAAUUAAUAGCAGAAGGUAAAGAAAGCCGACACUACCGAUUCCUAGCUAGAUAACCGGUGAUAAAGACUAGAAAAACAGGUAAAACCUAUGAAUCUAGCAAAUAUCGAUAAAUAGUGAAUAAAUCUAAACGAAACAACAGCGAUACGCCAGAAGUUAAAGCUUAGAUAUUACUCGAUAAACGGAACUUACAGAAUCGGCCGGAGAUCAAGAUGAUGCAGCCCUGCCAACCCGCACGAACUCGUGAAAAGAGGAAAGUAAUGGCGAAGUCGCCUGCUUGAAAAUAAGUACGAGGAAAAAGUAGCUUGUUGUAUUGAUUGGUUGAUCCUUACAGAUUUACAAAGGUAGCUAUUUAUAGCCCCGUACAGAUAUCUUCUUAACCGACUAGAACUCUAUCCCUAAUUCAAACAGAAAACGAAUAUCUACAAGCACGAUUCGUGCUAGGUUAGUUACUCCACGCUUCGUGGGCUGAUUUCCAGCUCAUCCUUCUAUUCCAAGCCCAUACAGGCCCAAUUAACCCAUCCUCCUAAUCGGCCGAUUCCUCAUCGGCAAAAGGCUACCGAUUGGGAUUCUGGUAUAUUCGACCCGAAACGAGACAGAAGUCACCGGCCGAUCUCACACUGUAGCACCACUUGGCCGAUUCCCAACUGUGCUCCUCCGAUCCCCCUCUCUUCUUGGCGCCGAUUCUACUAGUGACGAAAUCUGGCAUCAACAACUUCAUUGUAGGUUGCCUUUGCUACUCGGAAGUUAGUUUCAUCUGUUGGUAGGCUCUGCCACCCGGAAGUGAGAACGCGGCUCUGCUAUCGAAAGGACCCAUCGCACUAAGUAACUAGAAAUUAAAAGGGCUAACCGACUCCAGAGUGAGUUGGUGUCCUAGGUGUAGGUCCUCAGAUUAGUGGGUAUUAGGGCCACCUCAAUUUCCAACAUUAUGUACCUGAAAAAAAACCAAAAUGAAUAGUAAUUUGGGACGGAGGGAGUAACCACUAAUGACAAAAAUCUGAUAUAUAUCAAACUCUGCACAAGUUAUGCCGGAUACAAUAAGAUGAAAAAACAGAUUCAACCAUCCUUUUAGCAAUUGGGUGUAGUGGUAGUGGUAGGCUGACCAUCUUGUUCAUGUCAGGAAAAAUGAACUUGUGUGAAUGAGAAAGCAGGCGGUAAUUAAGAGGCACCUAUGCAUGUGUUUAAGAGUGUUUUGGCAUUUUAUGAGGUUGCUAAGGAUUUAAGCGUUAUACACGGUGUUUAGGUUCUCCUAGCCUUGUGAAGUAGGACCCACUGUUGAAUAAAUAAGGUUCUAAGCGGAUCAACCCCGUGGAGUUAUCUUCUUCCAUCCUUUCUCCCUGAUGUUUCUUUCCCCUUCAGCACCAUGCCCCGGCCGCUAAAUCUACUGUUGGCCAUGAAUGUUGCCGCUAAAUUUGUAAGAAUAUAAUGAGGUUUGCUGGUGAUAAUUGUAGCAAAACAUGAGGAUGUCAAAGCUUAGGAGUUAGAAAAGUCUACUCCUGCAAAAACUUUUUAUGCCUUUACUCAAGCUGCAUCUUAUCAAGAACUAGGGGACUACGCGUUGUCAACCUGGGAGGUUUAUAGCUAGAGGAAAAAUAUACCCAGGUUCUACUGAAUCACACAUUCAAAACAAAAUUCAUUGGGCUGGGCGCUGCGCAUGCGUGACCUAGAUGCAAAAAAUUGAGUCUGCACAGACCAUGAUCUUAUUUUGUCAUCAUGGCACCUCCCAAUUCAUUGUCCAUGUUCUCUGUAGUAGUACUCAACAUCGUUGAAAUUGUAGCGACACCAAAUAUUUUAUUAAUAGAUGGCUCAGGGAUAAUCUCUAGCUGAACUGUUGCCUCACGCUAAGCCUUGGUGCAUAGGCGCAUCGCCAAGCAUCGAACAGUCCAGCAGGUGUGCUCUAAUUGGUGUUGGAUUGGAGACAUCAAGGGUGCUUCUUUUAUCAUGGCGCUGGCGAAGUAUCUGUACAUCUAUGGCGGCUAAGACGAGACCCUAUGAGGAGGAUGUCCACAUAGAUAAUUCAUCGGCAUCCAUGGCAUUCGAUAUUAAAUCCGUCUGUCGGGCAUUCUUUCAUGGGAUCGAGAGCAUUGGUUUUGAAUCAUGUAAAUCUUAGGAAGCACAACGGGCCAAGUUCUUUGUUUAGUUCGCUUGUCACAGUGAGUGCUGGACAGUGGACUGGCUAGCUUGCUGAGGCCUGCCCCAUCCUCCUUGCUGUCAAGUGUGUCCUCACUAGGCAGGUGCUGUUAGCGCCUGGGUUGUGGAGAGCACCAAAAAACAUUUUAUUUGGUUAGCGAAGGAGGGGUGGUGAGAGGCUGAGAGCGGACUCAACAAUGGAGGCAUUGCCGGAGUAUAUCUAGAGGGUUGUAUUUUUGCUGCCGGUUCUCUCUCCGCUACGGUGCGGUAUAUGCCAUCCAAUAAACUUUGCGAAAUUGCCACCUAAUAUAAACCCUAGCAAUUCAAGUGUUUUCUGUACUGAUAAAAAAAAUUUAGAAAAAGGAAUUGUCUCCUACCUCUACAACCACACACAGUCAUGUUUUUACAAAAUUGUUUCUGCACUAACAAGUGGAGCCAGUGAAAUCUACAGCACCACAAGCAAUUACGUGCCCAUUGCCCUCUGGACUCUAGUACAUGUCAGUGCAAUAUGUUUAGCUUUAUGAUUUUAGUUUUUCCCUCGAAAACGUGGCUGAGCUUUGUUAUUCUAGUAUAGACCCUUGUCAUCAAGGAUGAUCGUCAAUGUCGUCACUCUCACCAAAGUCCAUCCCAACACUAAAACAAGUUGGCGAAAAAUACUAUGCAAAUUGCCUAGAAACCUAAAUCCCAUCCAGGAAACAAAAACAAAUCAAAUAACGUUAAAUAAAGAACUAAAAGGAAAACGAAAAGAAGUAGAUAAAAUGUUUUUUAAAAAAAAUUAUACGGGCUCGCUCAGGCCCAUGCGUGACACGAGUCGAACCGUGUGGUCAUUCUCAUAAACACCAGGUCCUCCUGCUUUUGUCUACCGAAUUUAUUCUAAUAGAGCAAUAGAAAGCAAGUGAAACUGCGUGUGCCAUGCUUUAUAUGUGCACGUGUAAAGCAUUUCGGUGUGAUUUCCUUUUUUUGUACGUGUGGUUUUCUAUGUGUACCGAAUUUAUUUUGUGUGGUUUUUCUAACCUCCUUUUCCAUGGCGGGCUGAUUUUUCUUUUCAGAAAUGUGCGGCCACCAUUUUAUAUGGUACAACGUGUACAGCACUGUGGAGCUGAAAAUAAAAGGUCAUCUUGGAACCCUGCAAUGUGCAAAAGUCAGAGGUGCCACCUCUGUCGACACACCCAAACUUGUUUCUCCCAGAUGGCCAUAUAUCGAUACUUUUUCUUCUUAUUUUAUCCUUUUUUCCUUCCUGUGAGGAAAUGUACACUACGAGUACAUCUAUAAUUGGACAUCCAAUAUACGGAUAUUUUUUCCUUGCAAAAAAUUGGAUAUCUUGACCUUAAGAAACAAAAAAUACACACGUGACAUACGUACUGCCAUUACUGUUUUGUAUAUUUAUGUAGACGCAUGUGACACACCACAUUUAAAAUAUGUACGAUUGUACAGUCACCGGCUCCACAUAAUUUUUUUAUAGAAAUUUUAGAACAAAACAUGUUGGUUAAAACAUAUAUUCUUUGAAAUAUAGUCUCUUAGGUAUCAUGCCUUUUUGUGGAGAGGGAAGUUGUUCAUUUCAAAUUGUUCAAAUUUACAUCUACAAUGUGGAGGUUGAAGAGUAAACAUGGCCCUCCGCCUCAAGAGAAAUAAACAUGUUCAGACUAAACCUAUAUCUUCCUUUGGGAGGCCUGCACAAUAACCAGUUAGUACGUCAUUGUAAUAUGGGCUGCAAGGCUAAUCCCAGUAGGAGUUUCAUAGAGGUUUCAUGCACAUUAAAUAUGGUGACACAUCAGCAUAUGUGAUGAUAUGGCAUGGUAGUUAUAAAGUGAGAGAGGGAAGGGGUUUCAUGAAGAUGAAACUGUGUAUACACUGUUUCCAAGACUAUGAAACCUAUUGAAACUUACAUUGGGAGCUAUAGAGUUUCAUUUCAUCUAACCAUAUCCAAUCACAUGCCUCACAAUUAAAUGUCAUGGGCAUCCUAUGAAAUCGUGAAAUGAAACUGUGCACUAGGACUCCCUGUUUCAUUCAUGAGAAUACACCUCAUGGGAUGACGUGGCAUCUUUGGAAACAGUGCAAUGAAACCUUGCACUACGACUAGUCUAAGGGCUCUUGGCUACAUAGCCAAUGCACUCAUUACUUCAUUAGCGUGUGACUUGAAGUUGUGGAUCAUACAAGGCACGUUAGCAUUUAAAUUUUACUCUUACUUGGAUCAGACAGUGUCAAACAAAGAACCUUAUCAGUAGGACAAAAUAGGUUGAUUCAUGUGAGACUAAUCAAGCAAGAGUAUGAGCAUUGUAUUUUUUAGGGACCAUAUAUAAGUUUAGAGUCUCGGGAAGUCAAAACCUGGACCAGAGGUUCGGGAUUCUCCAGGGAAAGCAAUUCAAAUUAGUAGUUUGUUUAGUUUUAUAAAAUUUUGAGAUCUGUUUUUAAUUUGCACAUCCUUUAUUAACAAAAACUAGAGCAUUAGAGGUUGAGCCGGCCACUAUGUAAGACGUCCUCAAAGGAGACGCGAGUUAACUCACACAGGAGACGUGAAUUUUCGCGUCUCCAAAUUUUCGUCUCUGAUGUAAAGUCAUACAAGAUGCGAAAAAUCCGCGUCUCCAAUGUAGAGGGUCAUUGGAGACGCGUUUUGACGGGACAAACAUAUUGGAGAUGCGUUUAGUUUAUCCGCUUCUCCGAUUCAAGAUUGGAGACGUGUUUUAAUUCCGCGUCUCUAAUAAGGAUGUCUUCUUUGUGAUAUUGUUACAUAGUGGGCAUUGGGGGUAUCAAGAAGUCAAAACUAGACCAUGUGUAUUGAUAGUUGUGAUCGAUUCUGGCUGACUUUUGAAAUCCUAGCCUACCAAACUUUGCUAAUCAUGCUUUAAAUGGUUGCUUGUUUGUCAACUUGGUUGCCCAUGUGAAUGGGUAACGAAAAAGGGAGUGCUAUGAGUUUUGCACCUGCUUACCUUUAAUUGGUCUAUAAAUUGUCACCGAGAGAGACCAUGCAUGGGUGCACCAGACCACUAGGCACUGGCACUCACAUACAUUCUCCAGCUGCAUACUUCACACUGUACUCAGCGCGUGCCAUGGCAACCUGCAGGAGCCUUCUCAUGGUCCCGGUCACUCUCUGCUUCUUCCUCCUCGUGCUCCCAGCGCAGAGCAAGGAGAACCUUGCCGUCGUCAUCUUCUACGGCACAGCCCGAUGCAAGAGCAACCCCUCCAAGAUCAUCAGCAGUAAGCGAUCUUAUAUUAACUGAUAUACUCGAUCAACAAACUUCAGCUAUCAUACGCUAUAGUAUAUCAUAUGUAUAAUCCACUCCUGCAUGCAGAUGCAACCCUGCAUGUGACCAUCAAUGGCACCACCCUCGCCACCGGCAAAACGACGAGCAUGGGCCGGUUCUUGAUGGCGGCGAGGGUGACCUCAAAAGAUCAGCUCAGCUCCCUGGUGAGCAAAAAGGCGGUCAUCACCGCUCCUCGACAGGCGUGCGGCAUGCCUGCAGCGUCCGUCGCUGCGAGGAAGCUGGCUGCACAGGCGGACCUGAAUGGCCACAGGAUUCUCGCCGACAAUUCUGGCGACUUGGUUGAUGAUGAUGAUAUCCGGGAGAUAAUUGAUCUGCUCGUUGACGACCUCAACAACUUCCUGGGCAUACCCAAUUGAGAGGAAUAUUUAAGGCAUUGUUUGGAUAAAUCCAUCUUAAUACACAUAGAUUGAGAUGGCGAAUAAACA